rnacentral:snRNA from 1 species
GUACUCACUUCAGCAGCAUAUGUACUAAAAUUAGAAUGAUACAGAAAAGUUAGCAUGCACAAGUUUGGUAUGCAAAUUUGUGAAGCAUUCUAUAGUUUU